ACGUAGGUGGCAAGCGUUAUCCGGAAUUAUUGGGCGUAAAGCGCGCGUAGGCGGUUCGUUAAGUCUGAUGUGAAAGCCCCCGGCUCAACCGGGGAGGGUCAUUGGAAACUGGCGGACUUGAGUGCAGAAGAGGAGAGUGGAAUUCCAUGUGUAGCGGUGAAAUGCGCAGAGAUAUGGAGGAACACCAGUGGCGAAGGCGGCUCUCUGGUCUGCAACUGACGCUGAGGUGCGAAAGCGUGGGGAUCAAACAGG
rnacentral:rRNA from 1 species